UCCGGCUUACACCGGCGGUCUCCUGUGAGUCCCCAUCUUUCAUGCUGGUAACACAGGACGAGGGUUGCGCUCGUUGAAGGACUUAACCUAACACCUCACGGCACGAGCUGGCGACAGCCAUGCAACAAGUGUCUUCACGUCUCCUUGUGAGAGAGGGCCCUAUUUCUAAGGCUUACGAUCGAUGUCAAGUCUGGGUAAGGUUCUUCGGUUAGUAUCGAAUUAAUCCACAUGCUCCACCGCUUGUGCGGGUCCCCGUCAAUUCAUUUGAGUUUCAACCUUGCGGCCGUACUCCCCAGGCGGGAUACUUAAUGCGUUAGCUACGGCACGGAAGGAGUCGACACCUCCCACACCUAGUUCUCAUCGUUUACGGCGUGGACUAC
rnacentral:misc_RNA from 1 species